rnacentral:rRNA from 1 species
UACGUAGGGUGCGAGCGUUAAUCGGAAUUACUGGGCGUAAAGAGUGCGUAGGCGGUUCGUUAUGUCUGCUGUGAAAGCCCCGGGCUUAACCCGGGAAUGGCAGUGGAAACUGGCGGGCUUGAGUGUGGCAGAGGGGGGUGGAAUUCCGCGUGUAGCAGUGAAAUGCGUAGAGAUGCGGAGGAACACCGAUGGCGAAGGCAGCCCCCUGGGGCUAACACUGACGCUGAGGCACGAAAGCGUGGGGAGCAAACAGG